CCUACGGGAGGCAGCAGUGGGGAAUAUUGGACAAUGGGCGAAAGCCUGAUCCAGCCAUGCCGCGUGUGUGAAGAAGGCCUUCGGGUUGUAAAGCACUUUCAGUGGGGAAGAAAGCCUUGGGGCUAAUACCCUCGAGGAAGGACAUCACCCACAGAAGAAGCACCGGCUAACUCCGUGCCAGCAGCCGCGGUAAUACGGGAGGGUGCGAGCGUUAAUCGGAAUUACUGGGCGUAAAGCGCGCGUAGGCGGUCUGAUAAGCCGGUUGUGAAAGCCCCGGGCUCAACCUGGGAACGGCAUCCGGAACUGUCAGGCUAGAGUGCAGGAGAGGAAGGUGGAAGUCCCGGGGUAGCGGUGAAAUGCGUAGCGAUCGGGAGGAAUACCAGAGGCGAAGGCGGUCUUCUGGACUGACACUGACGCUGAGGUGCGAAAGCGUGGGUAGCAAACAGGAUUAGAUACCCUGGUAGUC
rnacentral:rRNA from 1 species